UGCUGCUCUCCUGCAGCCAUUUUGUUCCAUUAAUGUAAAUUUUGCUGUCUGCUGGUUCUCAGCCAGCAGCACAUGAGUUCAGUCUCCAUAUGAGACAAACUCACAAUUUCUUCAUGUAACUACCAAGUAAAGCCUGCCUUUCAGGGAUCAUAUCGUGAACUGAAAUGUGAGUAAACUUUUUGUUACUUUACUCAGAAAGACAUUUGUGUCUUUAUUCUUUUAAGAGGGAUCAAAGGGGACACCAGGAAAUAAUUUAACUAAGAGAUUCAAACGAAUCUGCAAACUAGCUUCCAGCUAUAUUAAGGGGAAUUUGCUCUGUUACAUCACUCACUAGCAUGUGUUAAGGAUAAUAUUUAUUCAAUAUAUCCUUUUCUACUAUCCUUCACAUUCCCACAUGUCUCACCCCUGGUUCCAAUACAGAGAGAGAAUUACCUGGACUUCUUAUUCUUGUGGUUCAGGGUGCAGUGCUCAGUUCUGUUGAAAUGACAAAAAACAUUUCUUUUUCCUCGGUUAAUGUAUUCCACAGCCAGAGCUACUGAGCUUGGUGGGGACAAUUUAGCACCUGUUAAGUAUUCAGUGUCCUCAGGUCAGGUUACAUUAUUUUUGCCAGCUUUAUUGGGGGGAGGCGAGCUACAGAGUAGUGUGUAUUGGAGUUGUUUUUUAGGAGUCUGGUUUUCUGCUUUUUCCAGAUAAAGCCAUUUUUCUUCCACACCAUCGCCUCCAUCUCACUAAAUUGGCAGGGGGUGUGCCAUUGUGUGGUUUGCCUCAGGUGCCAAAAUGUCUUCAGCCAGCCCUGGAUGCUGUUAUGGGGCUCUUUGGUUGCAAGGAUAACAGAAUGCCAAGAAGAAGAAAGAGUUGGGAUGAAGAAGAAAAAACCCACGGGAGAUCAUUUAUUCUCUCUGUUACUUUAAGAUGAACUUUUACCACCAAUCUUGAUGAACGCAGCAGAAAUCUGCUUGACUUUCAGUCCUCUGGUAUUCUAGACCUGGAGUUAGGAAGGUUGCAUUUGGCUGCUUUGUUAUGUUGUCUCUGCCAAGAAAGCACAAUGCGCCUUGCAAAGCUGGGUGAUAGCUCCUGAUGCACAGCACUCCUGUCCUGAUUUGUUUAGAAACAGGAACAGCCAAGCCCCAGGGGCCUGCAAAGAGGAGUUAAGUGCAGAUGAGCUAAGGAGCUCCAGCAGGGUACAAUGACAUAUUUAAGGUUCUGAUACUAUUCCAGUUCUUGC